UACGUAGGGUGCGAGCGUUGUCCGGAAUUAUUGGGCGUAAAGGGCUCGUAGGCGGUUUGUCGCGUCGGGAGUGAAAACUCAGGGCUUAACCCUGAGCCUGCUUCCGAUACGGGCAGACUAGAGGUAUGCAGGGGAGAACGGAAUUCCUGGUGUAGCGGUGAAAUGCGCAGAUAUCAGGAGGAACACCGGUGGCGAAGGCGGCUGCCUGGCCUAAGACUGACGCUGAGGUGCGAAAGCGUGGGGAGCGAACGGG
rnacentral:rRNA from 1 species